GAAGUAAAAGUCGUAACAAGGUCUCCGUUGGUGAACCAGCGGAGGGAUCAUUACCGAGUUAUACAACUCCCAAACCCACUGUGAACCUUACCUCAGUUGCCUCGGCGGGAACGCCCCGGCCGCCUGCCCCCGCGCCGGCGCCGGACCCAGGCGCCCGCCGCAGGGACCCCAAACUCUCUUGCAUUACGCCCAGCGGGCGGAAUUUCUUCUCUGAGUUGCACAAGCAAAAACAAAUGAAUCAAAACUUUCAACAACGGAUCUCUUGGUUCUGGCAUCGAUGAAGAACGCAGCGAAAUGCGAUAAGUAAUGUGAAUUGCAGAAUUCAGUGAAUCAUCGAAUCUUUGAACGCACAUUGCGCCCGCCAGCAUUCUGGCGGGCAUGCCUGUUCGAGCGUCAUUUCAACCCUCGAGCCCCCCCCGGGGGCCUCGGUGUUGGGGGACGGCACACCAGCCGCCCCCGAAAUGCAGUGGCGACCCCGCCGCAGCCUCCCCUGCGUAGUAGCACACACCUCGCACCGGAGCGCGGAGGCGGUCACGCCGUAAAACGCCCAACUUUCUUAGAGUUGACCUCGGAUCAGGUAGGAAUACCCGC
rnacentral:rRNA from 1 species